rnacentral:rRNA from 1 species
GCUUGGAGGACUUUAUUGGACUCCUUCUGUCUACUUAAUCCACACAAACUCAAUUUAUUUUAAACUGAAUGUAUUUUGAUGUAACGCAUCUAAUACUAAGUUUCAACAACGGAUCUCUU